rnacentral:rRNA from 1 species
CCCUUAGAUGUUCUGGGCAGCACGCGCUACAAUGGUCUUCGCAAACGGAUGCAUUCUCGAAGGAGAAUGCCAAUCUUGGAAUCUAUGCCUUGGUCGGGACAGUUGCUUGCAAUUUUUCGACUCGAACCAGGAAUUCCUUGUAAUCGUGAUUCAUCACAUCACGAUGAAUACGUCCCUGCCCUUUGUACACACCGCCCGUCGCUCCUACCGAUCGAAGAGUUAGGUGAAUUGUUUUGAUCGAUAAGAUUUGACUAUGGUCAACUCUCGUUGUGAAAUUCUGUGAAUCUGACUGUUUAGAGGAAGGAAAAGUCGUAACA